AGAGUUUGAUCAUGGCUCAGGACGAACGCUGGCGGCGCGCUUAAUACAUGCAAGUCGAGCGAGAACCAGGGCUUCGGCCCUGGGGACAGCGGCGAACGGGUGAGUAACACGUGGGUAAUCAACCCCCGACACCGGGAUAGCCCGGGGAAACCCGGAUUAAUACCGGAUGCCCCAUCCGGCUUUCGAGCCGGCUGGAAAAGGGUAGCUUCGGCCUCCGGUCGGGGACGAGCCCGCGGCGGAUUAGCUUGUUGGUGAGGUAACGGCUCACCAAGGCGACGAUCCGUAGCUGGUCUGAGAGGACGAUCAGCCACACUGGGACUGAGACACGGCCCAGACUCCUACGGGAGGCAGCAGUAGGGAAUCUUGCGCAAUGGGCGAAAGCCUGACGCAGCGACGCCGCGUGAGGGAAGAAGGCCUUCGGGUUGUAAACCUCUUUCAGGAGGGACGAAGCCACUCGGGUUAAUAGCCCAGAGGGUGACGGUACCUCCAGAAGAAGCCCCGGCUAACUACGUGCCAGCAGCCGCGGUAAUACGUAGGGGGCAAGCGUUGUCCGGAUUUAUUGGGCGUAAAGAGCGUGUAGGCGGCCAGACAGGUCAGCUGUGAAAACUCGAGGCUCAACCUCGAGACGUCGGUUGAAACCGUCUGGCUAGAGUCCGGAAGAGGAGAGUGGAAUUCCCGGUGUAGCGGUGAAAUGCGCAGAUAUCGGGAAGAACACCCGUGGCGAAGGCGGCUCUCUGGGACGGUACUGACGCUGAGACGCGAAAGCGUGGGGAGCGAACAGGAUUAGAUACCCUGGUAGUCCACGCCGUAAACGAUGGGCACUAGGUGUGGCGGGUGUCGACUCCCGCUGUGCCGAAGCUAACGCAUUAAGUGCCCCGCCUGGGGAGUACGGCCGCAAGGCUAAAACUCAAAGGAAUUGACGGGGCCCGCACAAGCAGCGGGAGCAUGUGGUUUAAUUCGACGCA
rnacentral:rRNA from 1 species